AAUCAACGCUGGCGGCGUGCCUCAGACAUGCAAGUCGAACGAUUAAAGCUCUCUUCGGAGAGUGUAUAGAGUGGCGCACGGGUGAGUAACACGUAAGUAAUCUACCUUUGAGUGGGAAGUAACCGGGAAACCCGAGCUAUACCGCAUAAUGCAGCGGCACCGCAAGGUGGCAGUUGUUAAAGGAGCAAUCCGCUUAAAGAGGAGCUUGCGGCAGAUUAGCAGUUGG
rnacentral:rRNA from 1 species